GGAUAAGACAUCCUCCACCAACACACGUUUUUCAUUUUAAGUUUCCUUGAACUCAUGGGGACAGAGUGAUGAGCAGUGGUGACUGUCAGCUGACUGCCUCUACCUACCCCAUACAAACCUGUGAGGGACCCACUGUCUCCGGUGCCAGCCGGUACCCACAGGUGCCAGCAGAGACCACCACCACUGCCAAAAACAACAAGAAAACACCCCAAAACAAAAAAACAAACAAAAAAAGAAAAAGAAAAAAGGAGUAAGAAGAAAAGAAGGAGAGAGAAAACCGGCCCCCACAAAACCCAGAAUAAACAGGGAGCUCUCUCUUGGCAUCACCCUAAACCUUUCCAAAAAUGGAGGACUGUGUCUAAGGUAUAUUGACACCCAAAACUCAUGUUAUCAGAAUCUUCCAAGGCUUCCCAAAGUUCCUACAACCGAUCGAUAUGCCGUGCCACAGGCUGCUUGGUGCAGUGGACCAGAGGCUAAUAAAACUGUCCUUAUCCAUAAGCCGCAGUAUUAUGUGACCAUGUCUGGGCCAGGAACCAAGGCGUGCUAUGAUUUCAGAGCCUGGAUUCCGGUUACCUGGGGAGGAGACACGCUCCGGUGACGUAGGAAAGCAGAUAAAUCAACCAUCCCCAAGACCUGCGGCCUCCGAAAUUAAGGGAGAAAAUCUGCGUGCGGUUGGUUCAAUUGGCACCCAUUAAAGCUAAUAACUAAUCAUCCUCGCGAGUUUCUAGCUCAGAACGAUGAGAUCUGCGAAGAAAACAACAUCCGUCCACUUUUACACUCCAGUGGAAGGGGUGGUCCCUCGCGGCGGGGCGGCACAGUCUCGCCAUCUGGAGAAUAAAUCGAGUGUGAAGUAUAGUUUGGGACCAAGGUCCGUGGCGGCCG
rnacentral:lncRNA from 1 species